AGAGAUAACGACAGAGGGUAACUGUAGCACAGCGGAGGGAACAAGUCUCCAGAGGCAGAAGGGUCAGCUAUGCCGAGAACACGUUUGAACUUGAAAAACAUUCGGGGACAGAGAAAACAGAGCUGCAAAAUAUGUUAAUAGAAUAAGUGAAAAUAAGAAUAUCCAGAAGUUAAGACAGGAACCAAAAGAACCAAAGAGGGAACCAUUCAUACUUCAAGAUCUGUAAGAAGAAGUAGCAAUAUUUAAUAUGGAAUCAAAAGCUUGUGAAUCAAGUAAUGAUCUUUUAUCAAGUAGUGGUGUCACAUCUAAUGGAGGUUCUUCAAGUUCGUUUUUUGUGUCAUCUAUUCGUGGUACAAUAAUUGAAAACACAUCUUCAGCUGGGACUUUGACACAGGUUCCUUUUUUCCCUAAAUAUGAAGUGGAACUUGAUUCUCCUAGAAAAAUCAUCCCAUCUCCUGGAAAGGAACACUUUGAACGUGUUUUGGAAGAAUAUUCACAUCAAGUCAAAGAUUUACAGAGAAGACUAAAUGAA
rnacentral:sRNA from 1 species